rnacentral:rRNA from 1 species
UACGAAGGGGGCUAGCGUUGCUCGGAAUCACUGGACGUAAAGGGUGCGUAGGCGGGUCUUUAAGUCAGGGGUGAAAUCCUGGAGCUCAACUCCAGAACUGCCUUUGAUACUGAAGAUCUUGAGUUCGGGAGAGGUGAGUGGAACUGCGAGUGUAGAGGUGAAAUUCGUAGAUAUUCGCAAGAACACCAGUGGCGAAGGCGGCUCACUGGCCCGAUACUGACGCUGAGGCACGAAAGCGUGGGGAGCAAACAGGG